rnacentral:lncRNA from 1 species
AUGAUGGUGUGUAGCAAAGCCUUUCUCCACUCCUACACCCCACCAUGCCUUCUACACCUGCUACCGAACCAGGAACAUCUGUUUUGGAUUUUAUACAGGAUCCAACCACUUGCCAAUAUCCUCAAGGAUCUUUCCCCUGUCUUCACUGCAGAUUCAUGGCCUCCAAACUCAGCUAAACACUGCCCAUCCUGUUACACGUGCCCAGUCAAUUCUCACCUCCACUUCCUACUGCUAAAAAAGGUUGUUUCUUAUUUCAAGAGAUCUAUUCCUCUGCUUUCCCCAUGAACUGUCUGCGAGAUCUAUGACUGAAAGAUAGACCAGUUCUGGAACAGAGCAGCAGUGAAAUAUAUCUGUCGUACCCACACAGUCAAAAGGCACCAGACUCUAAAGAGAUCAGAAGUGACCACAGACCAGCAUGUGGGACAGCAUACAUUCUUGAUCUCAGACCAAUGGCCACUCCUGGCAUGCCUAACAUUGAGAAAAAUCCCCCAAGGAUGUAGUCAUCUUUCAAACCAUUUUUCCACAUUCCUCCCUGUGAUCCACAGUGAAAAUUUCUGUCAGCUAUUGACUCACCUGUUGACAUUUACAGCCAUAAUUAAACACAGAAUUCUUUGCACCCCUACCCUUUUUUUUCUCUUUGUUCCUUUCUUCCCUCUUUUACUCAGUAGGGUGCGGUUGGGGAGGAUAACCGAAGCUAGGGUGGAGAUCUAUUCCCAUGCCACAGUAAUUAGAUACAAUUCAAAAAAGUACUUUAAAUGGUCAAGAUUCUGUUUCCAGCCUAAAAAACUAUAAUGGGUACUUGGCAAAGUUUCUAAAGCACAAAAAAUCAUUUAAGAUAUAUAUCAUAUCACCUCACACCAAGCUGGAAGACUUUUGAUUACACAGGUAAAAUUUGCUCAGAAGACAUGUCAUAUUCAACAAAGAUUAAACCAAAGCAGGGAAUUUUUUUUUUUUUUUUUUUUUUUUUUUUUUUAGUUUUGACCCUCAACACCUUAUCACUUUUUUGUUAAUCAACACCGUUGUGUUUCCUUGAAGCUCAUUUCAGUUUCUGUGAUUAUCUUUGUGUGAGGCAAUAGGAUUCUGAUCAAGCCAGUAAACAUAACUAAAACUCAGCUAGCGUGUUACGAAAUAGCAACACUUUUUUUGCAUGUGUUUGGAAAUAUUAAGUUCUCAUCUCUAGAUCAUCUAAAUUUGUAAUUUUGGAUCAAUUGAAUUAAGCAAUUACACUCUAGUAAAUCCUGUUUUGCAGAAAAUAGAGCAGUACAGAGUAUUUUCUUUUCUUUUCUUUUUUUGUAUGUUUUAAUAUUGCAAUUUAUGCUUUUUUGUGUGUUUUACUUACAAAGUAGCAAUCUAAGCAAUGCCAUCUAUACAUCUGCUACUAAGGACAACGCAAUAUCACCUCGUUCUUGGGACUUCCCCUUUAUCUUAAAACAAUUUAAUCCACAACAUCUAUUCUGAAGAGAACUUAGAGAAUUUCAGCUAUCUCUUGACUAUCUGCCUGGAAUGCUGAAAGUGUGAGCACUUGCUUGUCUCUGACCAUUCAAUUACUGUCUUCCUGUCAGCAGGGAAAUCUGCAGAGUCUUUUUCUCUUUGGGGCUUCUCAGGACUACAAAACAUGACCUUAACAAAACAUGCUGUAAAAUCUUUUUUAAAGUAUGUUAUACUCAUGUAUAAAUGGUUAAUGUCCUAAAAUAUUAUUCCAACCUGUAUAUUUUUAAAUGUUUAUCAGGAGGAAAGACACAACCUGAAGUGACAGAGUGGGGAAACAAAACAAAACAUUGGCCCAGACUCAAAACCAGAGGGGACCAGAGUUCCAGCCCUGUAAUUGCUAAUAAUGAGAUCUCAGGCAACUCAUGUCAGCAUUCUGAUCCUGUUUCCUUCUCUUCUAGGUAAGGGCAAAGGGGUGAGAAACCGUCUUAGAUUCCCUGGCUGGGUCUAAAAAUUAAACUGACAAAGACAGAUUAGCAGGAAAGAAGCAUGCACAUUUAUUUAAUAUAAGUUUUAUGUGAUACGGAAAUGAAGACUGGAAGAAAUAGUUAGACCUGAAUAUUUUUAUGCUAGUUUUGAUGAAGAGUGGGAAGUCACGGAGAGAUCUUACAGGUCAUAAGAGUACGAGGGAACUGUUGCAAACUUGGGAAAAACUUUGCAAGGUCUGUUUGUUAGGAUUCUUCUAAGGGUAUGUUGGUCUGUAGAGAUAAAGAUGCUCCUUUCCUCCAGGUAUAGAGAAGGCACCUCUCACAUGAGGGCUUUGUGACCUGUUUCAGGGAGGAAGAUGGAGGGAAGAUCAAAGUGACUUUCCUGCUUCUUCUGGUUUCUCAAACUCUUACAGCUUAAAAUAUUUCAUAUGCCAAGGUGCCAUAUUUUGGGGUAGCGUGUCCUGAACCCCAUCAAGAGGGUUUGACUGGAGCUUUGAGAGGUCAGCAAGUUCACAAAGUCUAAUAGACAUUCCAGGUGGAAGGGAGGUUAGAGGACUCCAGGAGCUUAAAGAAUUGGUGUACAAGUAAGUAGGAAUAAGGAAGGCAAAAUAGAAAGGAAUAGGAAUAAGGAAAGCCUGGAAGGCUGAGAGUUGUGUCCAAGCAUGAGAUAUUAGAAUUUAAGAUUCAACACUGAAAGGGUUGUUAGAGGUAAGGCCAAGGGAGUGAGAGGCUAAAGUGGGGUGAAACAAAAGCCAUCGAAGUGGGUGUUGGAUGAUGCUGUAGCUAGGAUUCAAUGGAUGGCCUAAACAAUAUCAAAAUCCCCCAGAAAAUGAGAAAGAUUGUGCUGAAGAGGAAGACCGAGUGAGAGGUCAAAAAUCUUCUGUAAGUAUAGAAUGACCAAGAGGUGGUAUGGAGAGCAUAGUGCAGGUACACCUGCUUUGUAUCAUCCAGACUUUAAUUCAAAUCACAGCUCCACCACUGACCACUUUCCAUCUUUGGGCACUUUGCUUACCAUGUCAAAUUAUAGUCUACUCGAUCAUAAAAUGGGGGAAAUAAUGUCUACCCCACAGGGCCAUUCUGUGUGGCAGAUGGUAAUAACUACGCAACCAAUAGCCAUUCACACUGGUUCCUCACUAACAGAACGCAGUCCUCCAUGAACACUGUGAACAAGUUGGCUCUACCCCACUGGGUAGAUCUUAAUACAUCUCAGCGAAUGAUGGUAAUUCCUUCUGCUCUCCCAGUAACUGACUUAGGAACAACUCAAUAUUGGACAAUGAGAUGUACGAUAAGCCUGCUAAAGUGACUUCUAGGAAGUGUUUCUUAUCUCUUCAUAUUGGCUUGUGAGAAUGUGAUGCCAAGAACUCUGCAGCUAUCUUGCUGCUGUGAGGAAAACUAACAGAUGAGCUGAGAGCAGCAGUGCGGAAAAAUGGAAGGAGUCUCCAGUUAUUUAGCAAAAGCAGUAUUUGGAAGUCUAAUAGCACAAGUUGUGAAAAUCAGUUGGGAACUUGAGAGUUUAGAUUGAAAUGCAAUCUAAAAAUCGCUCUGUUUUAAUCCUAUAGACAUUGCAUUUUUAACUUUAAAAGGAGGAUAGAGAGGGGGUGCUUUGAAUAAAAAGCUAACAUCUUUUAAAAUCAGCAAUGACUGGAAACUUAUGAAUAAAUUAUUAUAUGCUCUAUACUUCUUUCCCCGAAGUUGUCAGGUGUCUUAAGAGGUAAAUUAAUGUUGGUUCAGGAAGCAUAAAGUGAGUCAUAGGAAGAGAACCUGGUUCAAUGAUCUUGAAAUGUAUUCAAUGUCAAAGAUGAUCAUUUAAACUCUUUUUUUUUUAGGGUUUUUUUUUUCUUUUUUUUGGUAGGGCAUGGGUAACCCAUUAUCUAAACACUUUUAAGAAGAAAAGCUGGCUAUUGAUGUAGAAUGAUUCAGACAACAGGAAUUUGCUCACAGAACUUAUGGCUAUCGACAUAUGGAGAGCAAUCCAGAACA